GGGCCCGCACAAGCGGUGGAGCAUGUGGUUCAAUUCGAUGCAACGCGAAGAACCUUACCGGGGCUUGACAUGCAGUUGACCGGCAUGGAAACAUGCCUUUCCUUCGGGACGAUUGCACAGGUGCUGCAUGGCUGUCGUCAGCUCGUGUCGUGAGAUGUUGGGUUAAGUCCCGCAACGAGCGCAACCCUCGCCCUUUGUUGCCAUCAAGUUAUGUUGGGCACUCGAAGGGGACUGCCGGUGAUAAGCCGGAGGAAGGUGGGGAUGACGUCAAGUCCUCAUGGCCCUUAUGUCCCGGGCUACACACGUGCUACAAUGGUCGGUACAGAGGGUUGCAAGACCGCGAGGUGGAGCCAAUCCCAGAAAGCCGGCCUCAGUUCGGAUUGUAGUCUGCAACUCGACUACAUGAAGUCGGAAUCGCUAGUAAUCGCGGAUCAGCAGGCCGCGGUGAAUACGUUCCCGGGCCUU
rnacentral:rRNA from 1 species